rnacentral:lncRNA from 1 species
UUGAGCGGGUAAAUCUUCACCGCUAUUUGAUGAUCGUGGAAAUCAGGUUCGCUUGAAGCCGCACAAGUGUCCGGCCUCUACGGGUAUCCACACGAAGAUCUGGAUUGAUCGAGGUUGCGAUCUCACCAGUGUGCUAGCUCCCUUGCAGAGAUCCCUUUUGAUGGUUGGAACUUCUCUAAGCAAUCAACUCUUGAUUGUUUCCAAGAGGAGAAAGAAGGAGAAGGAAGAAACGCUUUCUUUUCUUUUCUUUACCAUGGAAGAAGGAGGAAGAGAGAAACACCUUUCUCUCUUUGUUUUCUUCCAUGCAUCUGAUGAAGAGGAGGAAGAAUCAAACAUCCUUGCUGCUCCUCUUUUACCUUGCGGAUGGAAGAAGGAAGAGAGAGAGAGAUGGAGGCCGCUCGCC